CACGUAGGGGGCAAGCGUUGUCCGGAUUUAUUGGGCGUAAAGAGCUCGUAGGCGGUUAGGUAAGUCGGGUGUGAAACCUCCAGGCUCAACCUGGAGACGCCACCUGAUACUGCUGUGACUCGAGCCCGGUAGGGGAGCGUGGAAUUCCUGGUGUAGCGGUGAAAUGCGCAGAUAUCAGGAGGAACACCGGUGGCGAAGGCGGGUCUCUGGGCCGUAACUGACGCUGAGGAGCGAAAGCGUGGGGAGCGAACAGG
rnacentral:rRNA from 1 species